UAUUGGUUUGGCCAAAAAGUGCAUUGGGAUUUUUGCAUAAAGCUUACAGAAAACGCAAAUGAACUUUUUGGCCAACUUGAU
ensembl:miRNA